UCCAGGAAAGUUGUGCAAUUAUUGGAGUUU
rnacentral:piRNA from 1 species